UACGGAGGUCUCAAGCGUUGUUCGGAUUCAUUGGGCGUAAAGGGUGCGUAGGCGGCGCGGUAAGUCGGGUGUGAAAUCUCGGAGCUUAACUCCGAAACUGCAUUCGAUACUGCCGUGCUUGAGGACUGGAGAGGAGACUGGAAUUUACGGUGUAGCGGUGAAAUGCGUAGAUAUCUGGAGGAAUACCGGUGGCGAAGGCGGCAUCCUGGACCGGCAUUGACGCUGAUGAGCGAAAGCUAGGGGAGCAAACGGG
rnacentral:rRNA from 1 species